rnacentral:rRNA from 1 species
GACGAACGCUGGCGGCGUGCCUAAUACAUGCAAGUAGAACGCUGAAGGAAGGAGCUUGCUCUUUCUGGAUGAGUUGCGAACGGGUGAGUAACGCGUAGGUAACCUGCCUGGUAGCGGGGGAUAACUAUUGGAAACGAUAGCUAAUACCGCAUAAAAUUGAUUAUUGCAUGAUAGUCAAUUAAAAGGUGCAACUGCACCACUACCAGAUGGACCUGCGUUGUAUUAGCUAGUUGGUGGGGUAACGGCUCACCAAGGCGACGAUACAUAGCCGACCUGAGAGGGUGAUCGGCCACACUGGGACUGAGACACGGCCCAGACUCCUACGGGAGGCAGCAGUAGGGAAUCUUCGGCAAUGGACGGAAGUCUGACCGAGCAACGCCGCGUGAGUGAAGAAGGGUGUCGGAUCGUAAAGCUCUGUUGUAAGAGAAGAACGAGUGUGAGAGUGGAAAGUUCACACUGUGACGGUAUCUUACCAGAAAGGGACGGCUAACUACGUG